rnacentral:rRNA from 1 species
UACGAGGGGGGGCAAGCGUUAGGCGGAAUCACUGGGCUUAAAGCGUGUGUAGGCGGGUCGUUAAGUACCUUGUGAAAUCCCACGGCUCACCCGUGGAACUGCUGGGCAUACUGGCGAUCUUGGGCCAACUAGGGGCAGCCGGAACAAGCGGUGGAGCGGUGAAAUGCGUAGAUAUCGCUUGGAACGCCGAAGGUGAAAACAGGCUGCUGGGGUUGUGCCGACGCUGAGACACGAAAGCCAGGGGAGCAAACGGG